GGUUGUCCAAAUCUGAGUCACCUGCCCAGGCUCUGGACAAUGGUGACGCAGCCGUGGGAGCUGGUGCAGCGCUGCAGGGACGGCUGGGCCUCCACUUGCCCACUGCUGGGGUCAAAGGGCCGUUGAUGGGAUUAAGAAAAUGGAUGAGGACCGGAAAGUGCCAACUCAAUGCCAACACAUAACAGGCUUCCAGUAUCCUAUCCACGCCCACCUUGUCUGUGCUGAUGUUGUCCUGCCUGGCACCCCCAAUCACGUAGAGCCGGCCAGCACAGGGCACCACCGCUGCCGAGCUCACAGCCUCCAGGAGCGGCUCCACGGACUCCCACGUGUUGGAGAAGGGGUCGUAGCGCUCCACGCUGUGCAGGCGCCGUAGUCCAUCAAAGCCACCCACCACGAACAGCUAUGUGUGAGGACAAGGGGGUCCCCCCACUGGAGUCAGGGCUGGCUCCGGCUGUGUGCCAGAAGCUAUCCCACCCCAGCAAAAGGGCCCGGGCGAACCCCCAUGCUACCACCACCCAGUGACAACCUCGUUUAGCAGAUUUCCUGUCACUCGCCCCAUGGGGAUAAUGAGAUCCAUCUCUAGAAUGGGUCCUGCAUGUAGAAUUGAUCUGUAAAAUACUCGACACCAAGCUAAUGCUUAAAUAAUAGCUGGCAAUUAAGGGUUUACUGCCUUAAA